GUCUGAAUAGUUUAUAAAAAUACUAAAUUGUGGAGAUAGAGAUGCUUUGGCUUUGGACA
rnacentral:tRNA from 1 species